rnacentral:rRNA from 1 species
UACGUAGGGUGCAAGCGUUAAUCGGAAUUACUGGGCGUAAAGCGUGCGCAGGCGGUUAUGCAAGACAGAUGUGAAAUCCCCGGGCUCAACCUGGGAACUGCAUUUGUGACUGCAUGGCUAGAGUACGGUAGAGGGGGAUGGAAUUCCGCGUGUAGCAGUGAAAUGCGUAGAUAUGCGGAGGAACACCGAUGGCGAAGGCAUCCCCUGGACCUGUACUGACGCUCAUGCACGAAAGGC